AGUCGCAGGCAGUGGACAUAAGGCCACCUCCAGCCCUCUGCUUCCAAGGCUGGGGAGAGGCAAGGUCUCCCUUCGCCGCCGUAACCAGCCCGGGAACAGGAAGGCUGGGGAAGGUGGGGGACUCCAUCAGCAAGGAAACCCUGGGGCUUCACUCUCCUACAGGCGGUCCUGCGAGCGCGGCCAAAGAGAGGCAGGGCGCUAGGGAAGGCGCGGGGACCCGGCCUCGGUGGAAGGACUUGUCCCCGGCGCAGAGGACGGGCGGGC
rnacentral:lncRNA from 1 species